AUUGAACGCUGGCGGCAGGCCUAACACAUGCAAGUCGAGCGGAUGAAGGGAGCUUGCUCCUGGAUUCAGCGGCGGACGGGUGAGUAAUGCCUAGGAAUCUGCCUGGUAGUGGGGGAUAACGUCCGGAAACGGGCGCUAAUACCGCAUACGUCCUGAGGGAGAAAGUGGGGGAUCUUCGGACCUCACGCUAUCAGAUGAGCCUAGGUCGGAUUAGCUAGUUGGUGGGGUAAAGGCCUACCAAGGCGACGAUCCGUAACUGGUCUGAGAGGAUGAUCAGUCACACUGGAACUGAGACACGGUCCAGACUCCUACGGGAGGCAGCAGUGGGGAAUAUUGGACAAUGGGCGAAAGCCUGCUCCAGCCAUGCCGCGUGUGUGAAGAAGGUCUUCGGAUUGUAAAGCACUUUAAGUUGGGAGGAAGGGCAGUAAGUUAAUACCUUGCUGUUUUGACGUUACCAACAGAAUAAGCACCGGCUAACUACGUG
rnacentral:rRNA from 1 species